AUUGAACGCUGGCGGCAUGCCUUACACAUGCAAGUCGAACGGCAGCACGGGAGCAAUCCUGGUGGCGAGUGGCGAACGGGUGAGUAAUAUAUCGGAACGUGCCCAGUCGUGGGGGAUAACGUAGCGAAAGCUGCGCUAAUACCGCAUACGAUCUAUGGAUGAAAGCGGGGGAUCGCAAGACCUCGCGCGAUUGGAGCGGCCGAUAUCAGAUUAGGUAGUUGGUGGGGUAAAAGCCUACCAAGCCUUCGAUCUGUAGCUGGUCUGAGAGGACGACCAGCCACACUGGAACUGAGACACGGUCCAGACUCCUACGGGAGGCAGCAGUGGGGAAUUUUGGACAAUGGGCGCAAGCCUGAUCCAGCAAUGCCGCGUGCAGGAUGAAGGCC
rnacentral:rRNA from 1 species